UUGUGUUGAAAUGUCACCAAUGCUGAUUUAAAUGUACCAGUAUAUGUUUAGGUACAUUUGGUAACCUGUUCCUUUGUUGAUGUGUUUUUGUACCUGUACUGUAGCUUUAAGAGAAGUCCGUGUUUUGUGACGUGUGUGUGGCGCCAAAGCUCAGAAGGCUUUUUACUGUCUGAGCGGAGGAGGGAAUGUUGGUCCCGACUACGACCGUUUAUACUAUUGACACGUUGGUUUCUUUGGCUCAUACAGGUAUGAAUGUUUUAUGUUCUUUAUAUUAUCGAUGCUGGUUAUGUUUGUGUAUAUGCAGUGAAGUGCAUCUAGUAUGUUAUUCUAUUUAUUUUCAUAUUAUUUUAUACGUCGUCAGAAGGCUUUUUACUGUCUGAGCGGAGGAGGGAAUGUUGGUCCCGACUACGACCGUUUAUACUAUUGACACGUUGGUUUCUUUGGCUCAUACAGAAGCGAAUAAAUGAGAGAAAGCCAGCCUC